CACGCCCUAAACCGAAUGCGCGUUAGGUGUAUCGGUGACCACGAGUCACCGAGGUGCCGAAGGGAAACCGUGAAACGUGCCGCCUGGGAAGUACGGUCGCAAGGCUGAAACUUAAAGGAAUUGGCGGGGGAGGCACCACAACGGGUGGAGCCUGCGGUUUAAUUGGACUCAACGCCGGGAAGCUCACCGGAUAAGACAGCGGAAUGAUUGCCGGGUUGAAGACCCUGCAUGACCAGCUGAGAGGAGGUGCAUGGCGUAGUCGUGU
rnacentral:rRNA from 1 species